UACAGAGGUCUCAAGCGUUGUUCGGAUUCAUUGGGCGUAAAGGGUGCGUAGGUGGCGCUGUAAGUCGGGUGUGAAAUUUCGGAGCUUAACUCCGAAACUGCAUUCGAUACUGCGGUGCUUGAGGACUGGAGAGGAGACUGGAAUUCAUGGUGUAGCAGUGAAAUGCGUAGAUAUCUGGAGGAAUACCGGUGGCGAAGGCGGCAUCCUGGACCGGCAUUGACGCUGAGGAGCGAAAGCCAGGGGAGCAAAGCGGG
rnacentral:rRNA from 1 species